CCCUGGGGGUGUCCGUGGCCCUGGGGAUGGUGAGAUGGGCCUCCAGGACUCUGGGGGUGUUGAGCUCUGCGGAGAUCCCGGCUGAUCUGACCGUGGGCUGCAGGUCAUUAGCCUGCAGCUCUUUGCAAAACGGUUUUCACUUUAUCUGGAGUCGAGGAGCAGUUUUGCAGCAGGAAAAUGUAACGAGCAAUGAUGCUGACAAAAAAGAUAAGAAACCCGCUUUGGAAGCAGGUCAACCUGAGGUUCCGCCAACUCCAGCGUCAAAGCCCCGGUGACAGUCUUGGAGAGAGAUGCCCUGGGGACCCUCAGUCCAGACAGGUGGGGCCCCGGCGUCUCCCAGCCACCGUGCUGCCUUGGGAAGCACAGUCAGCCCGGCUACCUCCCGACUCUGUCCCUUCAGUGUCCACGGUCCCUCGAGGGUAGGAGCCGCCUCUCACCCCCGGGGUCCCCGCACACAGCCCAGACUCCUUAGGUGUCAGGGGUAAUAACCCCCCGUCGCCUUUGCACCAGAUAAACCUCUCAGACACAGCAGUAAAUCAUGAAUAGCAUUAAUUUUGCUGACUGGUAAGAGUAUGUUACGC
ensembl:lncRNA